CCUACGGGAGGCAGCAGUGAGGAAUAUUGGUCAAUGGGCGCGAGCCUGAACCAGCCACGUAGCGUGAAGGAUGACUGCCCUACGGGUUGUAACCUUCUUUUAUAAAGAAAUACAGUGAGGCACGUGUGCCUUUUUGUAUGUACUUUAUGAAUAAGGAUCGGCUAACUCCGUGCCAGCAGACGCGGUAAUACGGAGGAUCCGAGCGUUAUCCGGAUUUAUUGGGUUUAAAGGGAGCGUAGAUGGGUUGUUAAGUCAGUUGUGAAAGUUUGCGGCUCAACCGUAAAAUUGCAAUUGAUACUGGCAGUCUUGAGUACAGUGGAGGUAGGCGGAAUUCGUGGUGUAGGGGUGAAAUGCUUAGAUAUCACGAAGAACUCCGAUUGCGAAGGCAGCUUACUAAAAUGCCACUGACAUUGAUGCGCGAAAGUGUGGGUAUCAAACAGGAUUAGAUACCCGAGUAGUC
rnacentral:rRNA from 1 species